rnacentral:rRNA from 1 species
AUUGAACGCUGGCGGCAGGCCUAACACAUGCAAGUCGAGCGAGCGGUGGACGGGUGAGUAAUGUAUGGGGACUGCCCGAUAGAGGGGGAUAACUACUGGAAACGGUAGCUAAUACCGCAUACUAUCGGAUAACCCAUAUGGGAUUAGCUAGUAGGUGAGGUAAUGGCUCACCUAGGCGACGAUCCCUAGCUGGUCUGAGAGGUGGAUCAGCCACAUUGGGACUGAGACACGGCCCAUACUCCGACGGAGGCGGCAGUGGGGAAGAUGGCACAAUGGGCGCAAGCCUGAUGCAGCCAUGCCGCGUGUAUGAAGAAGGCCCUAGGGUUGUAAAGUACUUUUGGCAGAGAAGCGUUACCGACAGAAGAAGCACCGGCUAACUCCGUGCCAGCAGCCGCGGUAAUAC